rnacentral:rRNA from 1 species
GACGAACCGUGCGAACGUUGUUCGGAAUCACUGGGCUUAAAGGGUGCGUAGGCGGACCACCAAGUCGGGGGUGAAAUCUUUCAGCUCAACUGGAAAAGAGCUUCCGAUACUGGUGGUCUCGAGGGAGGUAGGGGUCGAGGGAACUAAUGGUGGAGCGGUGAAAUGCGUAGAUAUCAUUAGGAACGCCGGUGGCGAAAGCGCUCGACUGGACCUCUUCUGACGCUGAGGCGACGAAAGCCAGGGGAGCAAACGGG